rnacentral:tRNA from 1 species
GCGACUGUGGCGGAAUAGGUAGACGCCCAAGACUUAAAAUCUUGUGUCCGUAAGGGCGUACCGGUUCGAUUCCGGUCAGUCGCACCA